UCCAUGGCCAGGUUGAAAGCAGGGUAACACCUGCUGGAGGACCGAACCGGUGCCUGUUGAAAAAGUCUCGGAUGAGCUGUGGAUAGGGGUGAAAGGCCAAUCAAGGCUGGAAAUAGCUGGUUCUCCGCGAAAUCUAUUUAGGUAGAGCCUCGAGUGAAUACCCCAGGGGGUAGAGCACUGGAUGGGCUAGGGGCCCCCACAGGGUUACCAAACCUAACCAAACUCCGAAUACCUGGGAGUACUGCUCGGGAGACACACGGCGGGUGCUAACGUCCGUCGUGAAAAGGGAAAAAACCCUGACCGACAGCUAAGGUCCUCAAGUCACGGCUAAGUGUGAAAGGAUGUGGAAAUCCCAUAACAACCAGGAGGUUGGCUUAGAAGCAGCCAUCCUUUAAAGAAAGCGUAACAGCUCACUGGUCUAAUUAAGGG
rnacentral:rRNA from 1 species